UUUCGAUUGUCAUAUUAUGAAAUAAUUUCCUACAUUAUUUGACAUUCGAAAUGAGAUAAUUUGCCAAAUUAUCUCAUUUGGGCUAUAGUCGAAA